rnacentral:ribozyme from 1 species
GGUUGCAAGUUUGAAGCUUUAGCAGAAGCACUGAUGGUGCAGCCUGUCAGACUCCAGUGAACCUGUGAAUUCUGCU